rnacentral:misc_RNA from 1 species
GUGAAUCAUCGAAUUUUUGAACGCAAAUUGCACUCUCUUCGGAGAGUAUGCCUGUUUGAGGGUCAGCCUAAAAAAAAUCGACAUAGCUGCUGUUUCGCGGUGACGUUCGUCGGAAAUUGGGUAAUUUUAAACCUUUUGGUUUAAGGGACUUAAAAUUUUCUUUUUGAUUCAUUGAAGGUUUCUAAGUUUUAUUUUUUUCCACGUUUAAGGUUUCGUUUUAUUAGACGUGGCCGUAAUAUCGGAUCG